rnacentral:lncRNA from 1 species
GCCAGGAUCCACACUUUCUGGUCACUCAAGCGGAUUGUGUGCACCUGAGCUGCCCAGGGUUGGCCCUGCCUUCCCACCAGGUGCUCCAUCUCUGGUUCAGGCUGUGACUUAGCAUUUUCACUAAAAAUAUAUACAUUUUUUAUGCCUACCUCAAACCAGUCAGCAUGAUCCAAGAAGGGACUAAGGAAGUUGUUUUUCAGAAAGAUCUGCUACUUUUGUUUUCAGAAAUGGCAACAUUUAUCACGUACCAAUGAAGAGCAUACAUUCAACAGUACUUUUAAAUGGUGUAAUCCUAAAUAAGCGCUCCUGCUGUAUCUGAGCUUAAGUCCAAAUUCCUCA